AACGAACGCUGGCGGCAGGCCUAACACAUGCAAGUCGAACGCUUCAGCAAUGGAGAGUGGCAGACGGGUGAGUAACGCGUGGGAACCUUCCCAGUGGUACGGAAUAGCCCAGGGAAACUUGGGGUAAUACCGUAUAAGCCCCUCGGGGGAAAGAUUUAUCGCCAUUGGAUGGGCCCGCGUCGGAUUAGCUUGUUGGUGGGUAAAAGCCUACCAAGGCGACGAUCCGUAGCUGGUCUGAGAGGAUGAUCAGCCACACUGGGACUGAGACACGGCCCAGACUCCUACGGGAGGCAGCAGUGGGGAAUAUUGGACAAUGGGCGCAAGCCUGAUCCAGCCAUGCCGCGUGAGUGACGAAGGCCCUAGGGUUGUAAAGCUCUUUUGGCGGGGACGAUAAUGACGGUACCCGCAGAAUAAGCUCCGGCUAACUUCGUG
rnacentral:rRNA from 1 species